rnacentral:sRNA from 1 species
GCCAGGUGUGGUGGCUCACGCCUGUAAUCCCAGCACUUUGGGAGGCUGAGGUGGGAGGAUCACCUGAGGUCGGGAUUUCGAGAUCAGCCUGACCAACAUGGAGAAACCCCAUCUCUA